GAUGAACGCUGGCGGCGUGCCUAAUACAUGCAAGUCGAGCGAACAGAUGAGGAGCUUGCUCCUCUGACGUUAGCGGCGGACGGGUGAGUAACACGUGGAUCACCUACCUAUAAGACUGGGAUAACUUCGGGAAACCGGAGAUAAUACCGGAUAAUAUAUUGAACCGCAUGGUUCAAUAGUGAAAGACGGUUUUGCUGUCACUUAUAGAUGGAUCCGCGCCGCAUUAGCUAGUUGGUAAGGUAACGGCUUACCACGGCAACGAUGCGUAGCCGACGUGAGAGGGUGAUCGGCCACGCUGGAGCUGGGACACGGUCCAGGCUCCUACGGGAGGCAGCAGUAGGCAAUCUUCCGCAAUGGGCGAAAGCCUGACGGAGCAGCGCCGCGUGAGUGAUGAAGGUCUUCGGAUCGUAAUACUCUGUUAUUAGGGGAGAACAAAUGUGGAAGUAACUAUGCACGUCUUGACGGUACCUAAUCAGAAAGCCACGGCUAACUACGUG
rnacentral:rRNA from 1 species